GGGCGCGUAGCUCAGUUGGUUAGAGCACCACGUUCACAUCGUGGGGGUCAUGGGUUCGAGUCCCGUCGUGCCUACCA
rnacentral:tRNA from 1 species